GACGAACGCUGGCGGCGUGCUUAACACAUGCAAGUCGAACGGAAAGGCCCUGCUUUUGUGGGGUGCUCGAGUGGCGAACGGGUGAGUAACACGUGAGUAACCUGCCCUUGACUUUGGGAUAACUUCAGGAAACUGGGGCUAAUACCGGAUAGGAGCUCCUGCUGCAUGGUGGGGGUUGGAAAGUUUCGGCGGUUGGGGAUGGACUCGCGGCUUAUCAGCUUGUUGGUGGGGUAGUGGCUUACCAAGGCUUUGACGGGUAGCCGGCCUGAGAGGGUGACCGGCCAAAUGGGGACGGAGAUACGGCCCAGACCCCUCCGGGGGGCAGCGGGGGGGAAUAUUGCAAAAGGGGCGGAAGCCUGAUGCAGCAACGCCGCGUGCGGGAUGACGGCCUUCGGGUGGUAAACCGCUUUCGCUUGGGACGAAGCGUGAGUGACGGUAAUGGGUAAAGAAGCACCGGCUAACUACGU
rnacentral:rRNA from 1 species